GUGACUGUAAAUUGGUCUUGACCCUCUGAGGAAAUGGGGAUGCUGCAGAAGACACUGGCUAAAUUGAUAAAGUGAGAUUUGUAACCUCCCUGGGACAGAGCUCCCAGAGGGAGAGACGGGCCACUAUCUUUGCCAUUUAGAUGACUUAGCUGUUCCAGCCUUUAGGCCUCAGAGUAUCUGAGGAACCAGGGGCUGACAUGGACCCCCAGCACAGCACAGCUGCUCUACCAAAACAUGGCCAGACUGUUUCUUUAAGCAGGUCCCUGAUCCCAUUCCUCCUCACUGGGCAGGACCUCCCAAAUGGGGUCUUCAGCCACCUCCUACAGGUGCCUUUGCAUUGGCAACAGGCCUGUAUCAUCCUGGGAUGAAGCUUCAGGGAGGGACUGCUGCUAUUUUUG
rnacentral:lncRNA from 1 species